CCAAGAGCCACCUGUCCAUGCCCCAAGACCAGAAAGGCAACAGGAACCACUGGGAGCACAGGGCUGUCUUCGGGUGCUGGGCACACGGGGCAGGUAUGGGCUGCAGGUGCCGGGGGCACCAGUGGGACAGAUGUUCCCGUGGGGAGAAGAAGCAAGCAGGCCUGGCCCUGGAGCCUUCUGUGCAUUGACAGCCAGGGCGGCCAUGAAGUGCCUCCUCGACAAGUUCCAGGCGCAGUGAAGUGAGAGAGUUGAACCCAGCAUCUUCCUUCCAGACCGGCAGCUGGUACCUCUGGAGCCCAGGAGCUGCGACCAAGCUGGUUCCCUACGUUUCUUCUUCACCCACGGUUUCCUCUCACCCCCUGC